GACGAACGCUGGCGGCGUGCUUAACACAUGCAAGUCGAACGGAAAGGCCCUGCUUGCAGGGUGCUCGAGUGGCGCACGGGUGAGUAACACGUGGGUGAUCUGCCCCUUACUUUGGGAUAAGCCUGGGAAACUGGGUCUAAUACUGGAUAGGACCAUGCCGGCGGCGGGGUGGUGGAAAGAUUAUUUUCGGUGAGGGAUGAGCUCGCGGCCUAUCAGCUUGUGGGGGGGGUAAUGGCCUACAAAGGCGUCGACGGGGAGCCGGCGUGUGAGGGUGGACGGGGACAUUGGGGCUGAGAGACGGGCCAGAGUCCUACGGGGGGGAGCAGUGGGGAAUAUUGUACAAUGGGGGCGAGCGUGAUGCAGCGACGCGGCGUGGGGGAUGACGGCCUUCGGGUGGUGAACUCCUUUCAGCCAUGACAAGGACCGUGUGGUAACGGUAGUGGUAGAGGAAGCACCGGCUAACUACUU
rnacentral:rRNA from 1 species